rnacentral:rRNA from 1 species
UAACUGAAUCCAUAGGUUAAUGAGGCGAACCGGGGGAACUGAAACAUCUAAGUACCCCGAGGAAAAGAAAUCAACCGAGAUUCCCCCAGUAGCGGCGAGCGAACGGGGAGGAGCCCAGAGCCUGAAUCAGCAUGUGUGUUAGUGGAAGCGUCUGGAAAGGCGCGCGAUACAGGGUGACAGCCCCGUACACAAAAGCGCAUGUGCUGUGAGCUCGAUGAGUAGGGCGGGACACGUGGUAUCCUGUCUGAAUAUGGGGGGACCAUCCUCCAAGGCUAAAUACUCCUGACUGACCGAUAGUGAACCAGUACCGUGAGGGAAAGGCGAAAAGAACCCCGGCGAGGGGAGUGAAAAAGAACCUGAAACCGUGUACGUACAAGCAGUGGGAGCACCCUUUGGGUGUGACUGCGUACCUUUUGUAUAAUGGGUCAGCGACUUAUAUUCUGUAGCAAGGUUAACCGAAUAGGGGAGCCGGAGGGAAACCGAGUCUUAAUUGGGCGUUAAGUUGCAGGGUAUAGACCCGAAACCCGGUGAUCUAGCCAUGGGCAGGUUGAAGGUUGGGUAACACUAACUGGAGGACCGAACCGACUAAUGUUGAAAAAUUAGCGGAUGACCUGUGGCUGGGGGUGAAAGGCCAAUCAAACCGGGAGAUAGCUGGUUCUCCCCGAAAGCUAUUUAGGUAGCGCCUCGUGAAUUCAUCUCCGGGGGUAGAGCACUGUUUCGGCUAGGGGGCCAUCCCGGCUUACCAACCCGAUGCAAACUGCGAAUACCGGAGAAUGUUAUCACGGGAGACACACGGCGGGUGCUAACGUCCGUCGUGAAGAGGGAAACAACCCAGACCGCCAGCUAAGGUCCCAAAGUCAUGGUUAAGUGGGAAACGAUGUGGGAAGGCCCAGACAGCCAGGAUGUUGGCUUAGAAGCAGCCAUCAUUUAAAGAAAGCGUAAUAGCUCACUGGUCGAGUCGGCCUGCGCGGAAGAUGUAACGGGGCUAAACCAUGCACCGAAGCUGCGGCAGCGACACUGUGUGUUGUUGGGUAGGGGAGCGUUCUGUAAGCCUGCGAAGGUGGCCUGUGAGGGUUGCUGGAGGUAUCAGAAGUGCGAAUGCUGACAUAAGUAACGAUAAAGCGGGUGAAAAGCCCGCUCGCCGGAAGACCAAGGGUUCCUGUCCAACGUUAAUCGGGGCAGGGUGAGUCGACCCCUAAGGCGAGGCCGAAAGGCGUAGUCGAUGGGAAACGGGUUAAUAUUCCCGUACUUGGUGUUACUGCGAAGGGGGGACGGAGAAGGCUAUGUUGGCCGGGCGACGGUUGUCCCGGUUUAAGCGUGUAGGCUGGUUUUCCAGGCAAAUCCGGAAAAUCAAGGCUGAGGCGUGAUGACGAGGCACUACGGUGCUGAAGCAACAAAUGCCCUGCUUCCAGGAAAAGCCUCUAAGCAUCAGGUAACAUCAAAUCGUACCCCAAACCGACACAGGUGGUCAGGUAGAGAAUACCAAGGCGCUUGAGAGAACUCGGGUGAAGGAACUAGGCAAAAUGGUGCCGUAACUUCGGGAGAAGGCACGCUGACACGUAGGUGAAGUGAUUUACUCAUGGAGCUGAAGUCAGUCGAAGAUACCAGCUGGCUGCAACUGUUUAUUAAAAACACAGCACUGUGCAAACACGAAAGUGGACGUAUACGGUGUGACGCCUGCCCGGUGCCGGAAGGUUAAUUGAUGGGGUCAGCGCAAGCGAAGCUCCUGAUCGAAGCCCCGGUAAACGGCGGCCGUAACUAUAACGGUCCUAAGGUAGCGAAAUUCCUUGUCGGGUAAGUUCCGACCUGCACGAAUGGCGUAAUGAUGGCCAGGCUGUCUCCACCCGAGACUCAGUGAAAUUGAACUCGCUGUGAAGAUGCAGUGUACCCGCGGCAAGACGGAAAGACCCCGUGAACCUUUACUAUAGCUUGACACUGAACAUUGAGCCUUGAUGUGUAGGAUAGGUGGGAGGCUUUGAAGUGUGGACGCCAGUCUGCAUGGAGCCGACCUUGAAAUACCACCCUUUAAUGUUUGAUGUUCUAACGUGGACCCGUUACCCGGGUUGCGGACAGUGUCUGGUGGGUAGUUUGACUGGGGCGGUCUCCUCCUAAAGAGUAACGGAGGAGCACGAAGGUUGGCUAAUCCUGGUCGGACAUCAGGAGGUUAGUGCAAUGGCAUAAGCCAGCUUGACUGCGAGCGUGACGGCGCGAGCAGGUGCGAAAGCAGGUCAUAGUGAUCCGGUGGUUCUGAAUGGAAGGGCCAUCGCUCAACGGAUAAAAGGUACUCCGGGGAUAACAGGCUGAUACCGCCCAAGAGUUCAUAUCGACGGCGGUGUUUGGCACCUCGAUGUCGGCUCAUCACAUCCUGGGGCUGAAGUAGGUCCCAAGGGUAUGGCUGUUCGCCAUUUAAAGUGGUACGCGAGCUGGGUUUAGAACGUCGUGAGACAGUUCGGUCCCUAUCUGCCGUGGGCGCUGGAGAACUGAGGGGGGCUGCUCCUAGUACGAGAGGACCGGAGUGGACGCAUCACUGGUGUUCGGGUUGUCAUGCCAAUGGCACUGCCCGGUAGCUAAAUGCGGAAGAGAUAAGUGCUGAAAGCAUCUAAGCACGAAACUUGCCCCGA